rnacentral:rRNA from 1 species
AUCAGCAGCCAUAUCACCCUGCAGCCCAAGACUGGUUGCCCACUGAAGCUAAGCAGGGUUGAGCUGGUCAGUACCUGGAUGGGAGACCUCCUGAGAAAACUAGGUUGCUGCUGGAA